rnacentral:rRNA from 1 species
GUACCUACGGGGGGCAGCAGUAGGGAAUCUUCCACAAUGGACGAAAGUCUGAUGGAGCAACGCCGCGUGAGUGAAGAAGGGAUUCGGCUCGUAAAGCUCUGUUGGUAGUGAAGAAAGAUAGAGGUAGUAAAUGGCCUUUAUUUGACGGUAAUUACUUAGAAAGUCAAGGGUAACUAAGUGCCAGCAGCCGCGGUAAUACGUAGGUGGAAAGCGUUGUCCGGGUGUAUUGGGCGUAAAGCGAGAGCAGGCGGGUCAAUAA